UGUCCUCGAAAAACAUUCGCCCACCCAGGCAGCAAGACGGGAAAGGGGGCUUUUCUCUCUCUGCCAGCAGGAGGGGAGUUGAGGGGGUGCUGCCCGGGGAGCCCCGGGGAGCCCAGAGCCCUAGAGAUGGACUCUUAGAGUCAAUCUAUGGAGCUUGAGGCAGCCGAGGUCAUCCUGGCGCAUACCUACCUCUUACUGUCACUGGAUGCACGCAAACUGAUCUGUGAGAGCCAUCAGAGGAAUGGACUGAGCAAGGCGCGCGUGCAAAUGACUGAAAACUUGUGGGACUGCAAGAUUCAGACUGCUCUGUACUGAAGCAGUAGCGAGCUCCCGCCUGUGAUGUAACUAUCUUCAAGCCCUCGGCAGAGCCCAUGCAUCAGGAUGAACUGAAACUGCUGGGGAGAAGCACAUCUCUUUGGGCUGUGAUGGAAGGCCAUGAAACACAGGACCAAAGCCCAAUUAACCUUCCUAAUUAUUUUCCCAUCUUUAUGCAGUCCUCUAGGCUGCUUGUUUGCCACAGAUAUUUGUGCAUAACUCACAGGAAUGUAUGGGAUCAUAUGAUGGAUCACACACCAUUCGUUUUUUAUUGUAAUGGUGUUUUAAAUAUAUGGAUUCUGCCCUCCAAGCUGCCCAGGGAAAUGGAAAUCUAUGUGAAGAAGAUGGAAUUUCAGAAAGCUUAGCUUGAAUUUUACUUUGCUUCUUCUCUCUCAACAGAGCAAAAAUUUUAACAUUUGAAUUUGCCAUUUUCUGUGGUGUGGAAAUUUCUGUGGGUAACUAUAUUGGUGUAUCUUCUGUUUCCAUUUUACAGUUCUGUCCCCCCCAAAGAUGAAAAAGUAUGUUAUAUAACCCACCUAAAUUUUGCUUUCAUCAUAACUGUCAGAGACAAUAAUGAAAAAUAAUGUCCUGACAACCAUUACUAAAUAGUGGGAAAGGUAUUUUGAGGGCACAUCUUUUUCCUUAGAUAAAGUAGUACUAUGAAAGACACAAACACUGUAACUUUGAGUUAGCCUUUAUCACAAUUGUACUAUCUGGACUUGGCUGACCUAAAGAAAUGUUGCUGUGACAUAUUCCUGUGUACUUUUGAAUGCAUUUAAUUAGAGCUCAGUAGAGACACUUAUACAACCUGGGGAGCCUAACUAACUCUGUCUUUAAAAUACUUAUAUGGAGAAAAAACACAUUUAUGUAAAAGCCGGUGAUCAGGUCCAUCGUGAAAGAAAAGCCUCUUUCUUUAAAUCAUUAAAUGUGGACAGAACCUGCACAUGACCUGACAGUGAAUGAAGUUACUUAUCUCUGAUUAUAUGCCAGAUAUAGAUUGCUGCAACCAAUAAAAGUUAAGGUCAAAGUCUGAAAUGCUUCAUUUUGCAAACAUAAUUUAAAAACUUAAGUAAUUUUACUGGGAUUUACAAGCAGAGAGUGUUUCUUAUAGAGCAGUUAAUUUUGUCAUACUUAUUACAGAAUGCUUCUACCAUUAAAGUAGGACUUAGACUGUACUCACUUUUUAAA